GGAGAUAGCUCAGUGGUAGAGUGCCUGCCUAGCAUGCACAAGGUCCUGGGUUCAAUCUCCAGUACCUCCA
rnacentral:tRNA from 1 species